rnacentral:rRNA from 1 species
CGGUUGAUCCUGCCAGAGGUCACUGCUAUCGGUGUUCGACUAAGCCAUGCAAGUUAUAUGUUCUUCGUGAACAUGGCGAACUGCUCAGUAACACGUGGAUAACCUGCCCUUGGGACCGGCAUAACCCCGGGAAACUGGGGAUAAUUCCGGAUAUGCCAUGAUAGCUGGAAUGCUUCGUGGUUCAAAAGGAUUCGUCUGCCCAAGGAUGGGUCUGCGGCCUAUCAGGUAGUAGCGGGUGCAAGGUACCUGCUAGCCGACGACGGGUACGGGUUGUGAGAGCAAGAGCCCGGAGAUGGAUUCUGAGACAUGAAUCCAGGCCCUACGGGGCGCAGCAGGCGCGAAAACUUUACAAUGCGGGAAACCGCGAUAAGGGGACACCGAGUGCCAGCAUACAAUGCUGGCUGUCCGCAUGUGUAAACGGCAUGCGUUAGCAAGGGCCGGGCAAGACCGGUGCCAGCCGCCGCGGUAACACCGGCGGCCCGAGUGGUGAUCACUAUUAUUGGGUCUAAAGGGUCCGUAGCCGGUUUGAUCAGUCCUCUGGGAAAUCUGACAGCUCAACUGUUAGGCUUCCAGGGGAUACUGUCAGACUUGGGACCGGGAGAGGUAAGAGGUACCACAGGGGUAGGAGUGAAAUCUUGUAAUCCCUGUGGGACCACCAGUGGCGAAGGCGUCUUACCAGAACGGGUCCGACGGUGAGGGACGAAAGCUGGGGGCACGAACCGGAUUAGAUACCCGGGUAGUCCCAGCCGUAAACGAUGCUCGCUAUGUGUCAGGGAUGGUGCGACCGUUCCUGGUGCCGUAGGGAAGCCGUGAAGCGAGCCACCUGGGAAGUACGGCCGCAAGGCUGAAACUUAAAGGAAUUGGCGG